rfam:Schistosoma margrebowiei strain Zambia genome assembly, scaffold: SMRZ_contig0003396
ACCCAUCUGACGAGUUCCAAAUAGUACGAAACACGUAUCCUGGAU